CAGAGUUGCGGGAGCCCGGCAAUACUGGCAGCAACUCUCGCGGAUGCGCCAAAGCGAGGGCGGUUCCUCCUCUCGCUGGAGAUUGAGCCAGCAGUUCCCCAAGUCGUACUCCGUGUCUCGGUGGUCUUUCCUCGAUUCUCCUGAGUCGUCUGAAGAUGGAGGCCUGGACAAGAUGGGGGAACGAUGAGGCGAAACACCGUGAGAGCGAUGCCGGGCCUCUCCGUUCUCUACACAGUCUGCCCUGAGCUGCGUCCCUGCCGCCUUGGGGGCCUGGGUCCGUCCCCGUGCUGUCGGGGAGGUGGGGCUGCUCUCCAGGCUCCACGUUUGUUUCUCCGUGUUCGGCGCGAAGCGGUCACGUGGCUGCGUCUACGCCGGCAGCGCCUGGCGUCCCCUCCCGUGUUCACCUUGUUGCAGCGCUUGUGCUUGGACCGCAAACGCAGGUUCCCUCACCCCGAGUGACGACGCGGAAUGUUUCAGGCGAGGGGGGAGGGCGCUCACCGCGCGGCCCGGCUCCCCCCUGGGGCUCGGUGGUCGGAGGCGCCUGACAUGUUUGGGGAAUUAGGACGUUGUGAGUCGUCCAGCGAUGGGCGGGAGAAGCCCCGAAGCCGGCUGCGGUCCUGGUUGGGUGCGGUUGUCCGAGACUGCUCUGGGGGAGUAGGGUCUAUACGAAUCGUGGGAACAGUUUCAGGACGCGCGGCCUGACACCCAGGGGCCGAGCAACGCGACGGAUGGCUGCCUGGGUCGACGUCAGGGCGGCGGCUCUGCACCUGUUCCAUUGCAUGACACGGAUUCGCACCGGUGAGGUUCGCUCAAGUGGAGUUUCAGCUGGUGGCUACUACAGCAAAGUCGACCAGAUGGCCUGACGGCGACAUUAGGGAUAAAAAAAAUAUGAGAUUGGUGAUUUUUUUUGCUUUUACUGUUAGAGUUGCAGUAGAUAUGCUACAAUGUAGGCAUUAAUGAAAUAAGAGAUACUGAGAUUAUGGUAAUAAAAAUUGUCAACACGUAAUUAUUACCAUUGUCUGUAGUUAAUUUUUUAAAGAACUUUUAUUGAGAUAAAGUUGACAUACAAUAAACUGCAUAUAUUUAGAGUGUACAAUUUGGUAUGUUUUUUCCUAUGAGUAAUGUAUAUGUAGCAAUCCCAGUCUCCCAAUUCACUCCCCCCCAGCCCUCCUCGCUUUCCCCACUUGUUGUCUGUAAGUCUGUUCUCU